rnacentral:ncRNA from 1 species
AUAAAAGUGAAGACGGAAAAAAGUAGAUGUAUACUUGCUAAACAGAGAGCUGAUGGCUGGUGCGAAUCAGUUGGCGGUAUAGGUCGAAGUUCAUUCCCGAACUGCGAGGCUGAACGACAGUAGGCUGAGCCGGAGUGGCGCUCGUUAAUGUGCUAUGAGUUGAUCUGAUUCGAGAUUAUUAGGGUGGUACCGCGGAGCAUUCCGUCCCCUUGCGGUAGCGCCUUUUUUAUUUUCGACGGAUAACUAGGGUGGUACCGCGAUGCACGUCCGUCGUCCCUUUU